UACGGAAGGCAGCAGUGGGGAAUAUUGCACAAUGGGCGCAAGCCUGAUGCAGCCAUGCCGCGUGUAUGAAGAAGGCCUUCGGGUUGUAAAGUACUUUCAGUCGUGAGGAAGGUGUUAAGGUUAAUAACCUUAGCAAUUGACGUUAGCGACAGAAGAAGCACCGGCUAACUCCGUGCCAGCAGCCGCGGUAAUACGGAGGGUGCGAGCGUUAAUCGGAAUUACUGGGCGUAAAGGGCACGCAGGCGGUUAAUUAAGUUGGAUGUGAAAUCCCCGGGCUUAACCUGGGAAUGGCAUUCAAGACUGGUUAGCUAGAGUCUUGUAGAGGGGGUAGAAUUCCAUGUGUAGCGGUGAAAUGCGUAGAGAUGUGGAGGAAUACCGGUGGCGAAGGCGGCUCCCGUGGGACAAGACUGACGCUCAUGUGCGAAAGCGUGGGGAGCAAACAGGGAUUAGAUACC
rnacentral:rRNA from 1 species